rnacentral:lncRNA from 1 species
CAACAGGUGUCCUCCAAAGAACAGUUACAAGAGAAAUUCAGUUGGGAAAGCUACUCUUGCCUGCUAAUAUAGAUAUUCUGCCUUUAAAUAUUGGACUUCAUCGUGACCCUCACUUUUGGGGAAAUGAUGUGCAUCAUUUUAAACCUAAGAGAUUCGCUGAAGGGAUUGCCAAAGCUACCAAUUACACCGCGGCUGCCUUUUUCCCCUUCGGAUUAGGACCUCGAUCUUGUGUUAGUAUGACAUUUGCAAUGAUAGAAACCAAGAUUGCUCUCUCCAUGAUUCUACAACGCUACACCAUUAUCCUUUCCCCUGCUUAUGUCCACUCUUCAAUACUUAUUCUCAACUUUCAACCCCAAAAUGGAAUUCAAGUAAUACUUGAGCCGAAUACAUAGUAAUGCUUGAAGUACAUAGCCGUUAAGAACUAGAGGUUUAACAUGGUUCAUGUAUUUUACUUUUAAGAGAUGAUAUUUAAUAUGUUUAAAGGUUCUAGCAUUCAUCAUUAAAGACAAACGACUUGUGGCCAUGUUUACUUUUUAUCUAUCAUGCAAUGUCGAUAAGAAGAUAUCAUUUACCUUUUAGUUGGGUUAUGAAUUCUACUAUUGUGAAUGAUGUUACAUACUAUACAAGUUCUAUACCCAAUGCACCAACUUUCGGUUCUUUAUCUAUUUGAACUUAGCCUUUUACUUGCAUCAAAGUAUACGAGUCAUGCUUGUAUAGUCCACCAUCCACUCAAGAUUAAGGUAUAUCACACAAUGAACAUCACAAGUAAAUAGAUCCAUAAAUGGAUCUAGAAUCUAUUCUACUUGGGUCUUUUCUGAUGUAUUGUCAGUCCAGUCAAUCACAUCUAUGUCUUUAUCUUUUAGGAGUUAUCUGUUCCAUUUAAGACAAAGCAUCUCCACAAUUGGGUUUGAUAGACGACAUCUUAGUUUUUCAAUCGAUUUGCUCAAUUUUGAUUAGACUAAGGACAUAUUUAGGUUUAUAUACUAAUACAAGCUAUCUUUCCAUAUCAAGAUCUGACCACGUAAUACCGCUUAGUAUUAAUUUAAACAAUAGAUAACCAAUGAGCCAAUAUUUGCUUCCAUUUUGCUUUGUGUGCAAAAACAUUGAGGACAAUAUGCAAAGGGUAUUAAUGUAAUUAAUAGAUAUUAUUAAACCAAUUUGUUUGAAAAAUACAAUUAUAUAAAACGAAUAUAGUACACUUAGUGUACCAAAUCCAACAAUGGCCACUACAGCUAGCAUUGCCAUAAGCAACAUAACUUGACAUUUUUGGAGUUGAAAUCUUUUUAACAAAAUCAGUUGGGCAACGACUUAGAUGAUUUUGUGGACAUGUGUUGGCUCAUAUUUGAAGAUCCAUUUUGUGGAGCAAUCAAUCUGUUAAGAUUAAAUCAAUCUGAAUCAAGCAAAUCGGAUCACUUAUUUUGUGGAGAUUGGCUUGACUUAUUUUAAAAUUUAUUUUCGAAAUCUUUGAUUUAUUCUUAACUUUCAGGAUAUUUGUAAAAUUUGAUAACACUCUAGAAUAACGUAUUUUUAUGUAUUAAUUAUGUAUUUAUUUUGAAUAUGAUCCUGCUAAUUUGAGCUAUUUAUGAUAUUUUAUCUCAUAGGGACUAAAUUUGAGACAAAAGCAAAAUUAAGGGCCAAAAGUGUGAAUUUAGAGAUAAAAUGGGCCAAUGUGCGACACAAAUAAAAGUUGGUGCCAAAAGUGCAAGCAUGGAGGACACAAGGGUUGAAAUGCAAAAAAAAGAGAUUUUAUUCUAUCAAACUCUAUUUUAAUUAUAUUAGGAUAAUUAAUAUUAAGAUAAUUAUUAAGGAUUAUCUAAUUUUAGGAUUUUAUUUUAUUUAUCUUCAAUUAAAUGUAUUUAUCUUUUGGAGUUUAAGUAGGAUUAGACUAUCUCCCCUAGCACUAUAAAUAGGGGUAAAGUAACUCAAAAAUGAUGUAAACACUCUCUCCCCCAAAAGUCUAGGCUUUUGUUCUCCUCAUAUUUCCUUUCAAUAAAAUCUCUAUUUUUAUUUUAUUUAUUUUCUUUUUCACCACAACCAUGAGCCACUAAACUCAUCUAGCUGAAAGUUGUCGAUAUUUUCCAAAAAGGGUUCUCGAGGCCUAGAGUCCGUACUUAGCCUCCUCGCUGAGUAUUCAUUGUUUCUCUGCACUACGGGGCUGACGCUUCCGUCCAUGUCCCUUAAGAAGUAAGAUUUUCAAUGUAUGCAAAGGCGACUGCUUUGUAUGUUUUAGGAAGAUUGCAUAGUCAAUUCGUUAACUUACUGCGUUAGAGGUUAGUGAGCCCAAGAGACAAAAUGGCAUGGGAUUCACCAUUGAGAAUCGCUGAUCUAGCAUAAGACGAUCCCAUAGAAGCAAUUGUUGGCUAGAGUCAGGUUUCACUAAAUCGUAAGUCUAAAUCCUUAGAGCUGGUGGUCGUAGGCGUCCUCUUCCACUAUAACUGGCUUAUUCGGUUUAGGAAGGAUCAUCUAAAAGUUGAGGAUUGAACCCAAGGCGGAACGAGAAAGCUGGAGGUUAGAAUCUCCCAUAAGAAUUUUCUUUCUCUUAACUUUAUUUUUAAUUUCUCGAAUUUUUGAUUCAAUAUUCUUAAUUUUGUUUUUAUUUUAUUUUUCGUUUCCAGACCCAAACCUUUAAUUCUAUUUUUUUUAUUUUUUUUCCAGGAACGCAGGUUUUCUCGGGAAAGAUUCUGCCUGGGAUUUCACAAAAUAAGAUAUUGUGCAAAUCCAGUCCCUAAGGAUUUUACCUUACUUUCCUUUUACUAUUCUUUUUCAUUAUUUAUUAGGGAUAGGAUAUUUUUUGUGCUUUCAACAACCGCAUUAGUAAAGUUUUUUUUACGAGGCUAUUUUUUGUGGGAUAUUGAUUCGAAUUGAUCUUUAUCUUUGCAAACAUUAAAUUCUUAUAUAUUAGAGGCUUGUGUAAGUUAAAAUAAGAUAGAGUUUCUAUUGCACUUAUUUUUUUCAUUGAGGAACUUGUAAUUGAUAGUGCAUUAAGAGUGUAAAAUAAGUUUGUUGCUUGGUUUUACAGCCAAAAUUCUCAAGGGAAGAACUUAGUGGUGAAUGAUUUAGAUAUUUAGAUACAAAAGUGAGGUUGCUAUACCGAGUUGUGAUAGGACUUAAAUAACUUGUUGUCUUGGGAUUAAAAAUAAUGGAUUUACUCAUUAAGUUAGGUUCCAUAGACAUAGAAAAAUCGAUAUGCAUAAACAAUCAUUUGUGUUCUAUUUUUUGUUGUUGUGUUCAUCAUAGUGGCAUCAAAGGUUGCCAUUACAACCAUCACUUUGUCAUCAAUUACUCACUUUAUUUUUUUAAGCAAUUAUCAACUACAUGCGCCAAGAGAAUGCUUGUUUCCAGUACUAUUGAUCAAAAUUUUGUAGGAAGCAUAAUGACAAAAAAGGAAAUGAUUACAAUCAACCCCUUAUGUAACAAUUCCAUUUGUAUGUUUGCAUGUUAUAAAAUGGUGGUUGUUAUAUACUACAACAUGUUGUUAUAAAAAGAUAAUUAUUGUAAACCUAAAAUAGAAUUUACAUUGCGAAUUACUAUCAUAUAAAGAAGGUGGGAAUUAUAUUAAAAAAGGAAAGUAGAAACCAAUUCAACAAAAUUAAAAGAUGUAUAAUAGGUGCAUGCAUUAUUACCUUUAUAUUUUAUUUUACAUUUUUCACAUGAUUAAUCGAUAUGAGUUUAAAUUAAAUUAAUUAAUUUAUCAUGUGUCAUUAAAUUCAAGUAAUUAAUUUAUAAGAUUAUGAUGUUCCAAAUUUAUAGUAGAAUAUUUAAUUAGAGAACUUAAUAGUUUAUUGAAUUGAUAUCUUUAAUUCCACUCAUUGAAGAUUUUGUCAUGUGAAAUUUAAACAUUUUAUUAAAAUAAUAUUUUAUGAUUGUUUAUGAUAAACUUAGGAUUUUUAAUAGUGUUUAUAUAUGUAUUAUGUUAAGAUACAUAAUGAUAAAACUAGAGUUUGUGGUAUGUUUUGAGAUGAUAGGCUUCACGAUUAUGUGAUUUAUUGUCCUUAGCUAAUUCAAAUAUAGAUUAAUGAGGUUGGUUUAAUAUAUGUUGUAGGGAACAACGAAAAUGGGAAAAAAUUAAAUAUUACCCUAAAACAAAUUGAUAAUUAAUAUAGUUAAAUUAAAUCCAUUUUGUUUUGGCAAAUGAAAAUCAUUGGUUUAAAAGGUUUGAGAAUUGAGGAACCUUUGCAAAACAUAAUGCGAUAUCAUCACUGUUUAUAGGAGCUGAGUAUAAAUAUUCUCUUUUCAUGUCUUUGUUGUUGGGUUUUUAGGUCUUUUUGUGACAAUUAUCAUUCCUCUCAUUUCAAUAUUUAUGAUAAUAAUACCUGUAAAGCACGUUGGUCAUGUCUUAUUUUUACUAUUUAUGUAAACAUGAUUCCCGUAUAAACUAUACUAAAAUUCGUAUUAUUGUAGUACUUAUUAUUAAAGUUUCAGUCCUGUGACAAUUGGUAUUGGACUGAGAUUUGAAGCUACCAGUUGAGAUGACAAAAGGAGUAGAAGAGCAGAUUGAACCCAGAGAGACCAUGGGAGGGGCAGGAGCUAUUUAUAUAUUUUUGAGAUGUUGAUAUCUUCCAGAGCCAUUUAUGACCACACACGAUAAUGGGUAAGAUAGGGUCCUACCUGACUUAUGGUUUAUCUGUUUUGAAGGGGGAAAUGGUUUUGUUUUAGAGAAGAAAAAUGAAUGCGUUGAUGAAACUUCUAAUUCUUGCUCCAUGUUUCUUCUUCAUAGCUUUAAUAAAGUUACUUUACGAUUACCUAUGGAUACCUCUCCGUAUUCAGCAUAUGCUGAAUUCACAGGGGAUCAAAGGACCUCCUUACAGAUUCAUCCAUGGCAACAACAAGGAAGUUACCAAAAUGAAACAAAAAGCUUUAAGCAAAUCUGUGGGCUUGACAGAUGAUCUAUUUCCCAGAGUACAUCCACAUUUUUACACCUGGACCAACAGAUAUGGUAAGAUCCAUGCCUGUUCUUUCACUAUGAUUUAUAACUUGUAGUUCUAAGAAAAGGUAGACCCUUUUUCUUUUCAUGUUAUUAGGGAAGAAUUUUGUUUAUUGGAACGGUGCUCGAGCUGAAUUGGUGAUUUCAGAGCCUGAAUUAAUCAAAGAAGUUCUGAAAAAUAGUGAACAAAUUUUUCAGAAAAAGCAGCUUUCAGAUAUCGGUAUGAAGUUCUUGGGGAAUGGACUUAUAUUCAUUGAGGGGGAAAAAUGGGCAAAGCAUCGAAAGCUAGCCAAUCACACUUUCCAUGGGGAAAGCCUAAAGGUAAGUCUUCCAAAUAUAUAAACUAGAUGUAAUUAAUUUACAAGAAUUAUACAUAGACUACAAUAUUUUGGUAAAAUUUUGCAUUCUUAGCUAAUUUAUUAUCGAAGUUGAAAAGAUUCGUGAAAAGUAAUUUUGAAAAAUUUGACAGCAUUUACCACUUAAGAUAUCAAUUUUAGAUUUAAUGUUGUAAAGUAAAAAAUAAUUCAGAGAUUUAAAAAAGAAGUCAUUUCAUUGAAAAACACUAUUUUAACUUUUUGACUUAGAUUAAAAUCUAAUUUGAAAUAAAGUUUAGUUUGAAAUUUUGUUUGUUUGCGAAUUUUUCUAAGUUGAAAUCAUGAUUUUGUGUUGAAAAGUGUUUUUCAGACUCCAAUUAUAUAUGUCACUACUACUUACAUAUUGGAGGAUUGUUUCCGCAGAACAUGACUCCAGCAAUAAUUGCUAGUGUUGAAACAAUGCUAGAAAAGUGGAAUGGCCAAGAAGGAAAAGAGAUUGAAGUGUACCAAGAAUUUAGGUUAUUAACUUCAGAAGUGAUUUCCAGAACAGCAUUUGGUAGCAAUUACAUGGAAGGGGAGAAGAUAUUUGCCAUCUUGAGAAAGUUGACAGUAAUUAUGAGUCGAAAUCUUUCCAAGACUAGAAUUCCUUUGAUCAGGUAUCUUCCCUCUACGCUUAAUUAAUCCCAACUUUUACCUUGAUUUCAACUAGCUUUUGAAUGCAACUUUUAGACUUUCAUUCCCCAUUGAUUUGGUUUUCUCCUUAUAUAUAGCUGACCCUGGUUUGCUUUUGCAGCAAGUUGUGGAAAUCUGCUGAUUUGCUAGAGGCUGAAAAACUUUCAAAAGAAAUAAAAGAUCGUGUGAUGAAGAUUGUUAAGAAAAGAGAAGACAAAGUUGUGAAUGAAGAAGUCAAUAGCUUUGGCAGUGAUUUUCUUGGAUUACUUCUAAAUGCCUAUCAUGAUUCGGAUGCGAAAAACAGGCUUUCCUUGGAAGACGUGGUAGCUGAAUGCAAAACAUUCUAUUUUGCUGGACAAGAAACUGUUAAUUCCUUACUUGCAUGGAUAGUCUUGCAUUUGGCAAUCCACGGAGAUUGGCAAGAAAAAGCGAGAAGAGAGGUGAUUGACAUAUUUGGUAACCAAAAUCCACAUCUCGAAGGCAUCGCGAAACUCAAAAUAGUAAGAAAACUAUCUAACUGGGAAUUCAAAUAGCCAUCAACAUUAUGCAAUCUAACAUAUUUGUCUAUUUCCUAAACAGAUGACCAUGAUCAUCAAUGAAACUCUAAGAUUGUAUGGUCCAUCAAAUGGCCUGGCAAGAGCAGUUACAAGAGAAGUUCAGUUGGGAAAACUACUCUUGCCUGCUAAUAUAGAUAUUCUGCCUUUAAAUAUUGGACUUCACCGUGACCCUCACUUUUGGGGAGAUGAUGUGCAUCAUUUUAAACCCGAGAGAUUCGCUGAAGGGAUUGCCAAAGCUACCAAUUACACCACGGCUGCAUUUUUUCCCUUCGGGUUGGGACCUCGAUCUUGUGUUGGUAUGACAUUUGCAACAAUAGAAACAAAGGUUGCUCUCUCCAUGAUUCUACAACGUUACACAAUUACCCUCUCCCCUGCCUAUGUCCACUCUCCAAUACCUAUUCUCACCCUUCGACCACAACAUGGAAUUCAGGUAAUACUUGAGCCGAUACAUAGUAAUGCUUGAAGUACAUAGCUGCUAAGAAAUAAGGGUUUAACAUGGUUCAUGUAUUUUAGUUUUAAAAGAUGACAUUUAAUAUGUAUAAGGUUCUAGCAUUUGCAACCCCUUCCCUCCUAUGGUGUGCCCACCUUCAUACAUAAUGAAAUGCAAGUAGCUACUUAUUUCCAAGAUGCUAAAACACACAAUCAAUAAAGAAGAAUAUGUCGAGGCAAGUUUUGGGAGCAGUGACUCGAGAAAUGACAACUGCGUUUGGCACGCGCAGGUCACAUAACUUUUAGCAUGUUUGAAAAAAAAUAUUUUGAUUACUUGCUUGCAUCUUUUUUAGGAUUUUGUGCAUCCAAUCUUGUGUUUAUUAUUUAAUUAAUCUCAGAUUGAUUUUUCUUAAACUAGUGGUUAUACUAAGGCUUGUUAGCGGAUUAAACUUUGUGCAAAACACUAUAGAUGUAGAUGUGUUUCCCGUGAUGGGAUUUGUAUCUACUAAAAAUAAAUUCCUACACUUGAAACCAAAAUUAAAUUUGUAGUAUAUAGAGUAGGGUUGAUCCCACAAAGGUUGAUCUAUCCAAAUUUCUAUUUCUUUAUAACUAGAACGUGUCCCGAGCAGUUUUUAUGCCCAUGACUUGUGCCAACCUAUACGAAAAACUAAGGGGAAUUAAAUCUGAAAAAUAAAUAAACAACAAAAAUAAAUUAAUAAUUAAAAUGAAGUAGAAAUAAGUAAAAUGAAAUUAAAAUUGAAUAAACCGAUAAAACAAAAGCUUUAGCUUCAAGCUCGAUUUUGACUUAGUCUUCAAACUGAUCACGGAGAAUGAAUUUUUUUUCCUUUAAUUAAUAAGUCAAUUAUAGAUGCCAAGGAACGAACCUCAAAGCACCUAAUUCUUCCAUAGUGGUAAAUUAAUUGCGGGAACAGCUCGACGGCUAAGCCUUAUCAAGUGAAUAACCUUGAAAGUAGCAUUGGUGAUUUAAUUCAUUGGUAGCCUUGCAAACUAAAAGAACCUGACUCAAAUCAACGGCCUCAAUUGUAUGAGUCAUUUAAACUUAAUUAUUAACUUCUUUGAUGGAUCCAACCACUCACGCCAUUUGUCAUGUCAAUUUGUAAUUCAGUGGAUCUAAUACAACAAUUACGGAUAGCAUCGAUUCUCUAACUUUAUGUCGUUCAACACUAAACCAAGGGACUCUUCUUGAUUUUGAUGCUAAAAUAACAUUGAGAAGUGAUCAAGUUUAUCUUUUAAAUUGGAGAAUUAACGAAUACCGAAAUGGAGAAUAUAAAUACGAUUUUAAAAGUUCACUGUUCAAAUAUUGGAUCAAUUAUCAAUCUAAAACUAGGUUAAAUUUAACAUCUCAUAAAUUAAAAAACAAGAAAAGAAAAUAGUUGAAGGAGAAUAUUUAAUUGAAAUUAAAAAAACACUAAAAUAAAAUCAAAACAAUAGUUAAAUGAUGAAGUUGCUUUGAAACUGGAGUUACCAUUUUCGUUGGAGGAGAUAACAGAGGCAGUGUGGAGUUGCGAUGAGUCGAAAGCAUCUGGGUCGGAUGGCUUUAAUAUGUGCUUUUUUAGAAAAUGUUGAGAUGUUGUAAAAGAGGAACUUUUUAGAAUGAUGUUAGACUUUUUUAGAUCUAGAAAGCUUGAGAGGAGCAUAAAUUCUUCAUUUAUUGCACUCAUAUCCAAAAUCGAAAAUCCAAAUAAAAUAUUAGAAUUUAGACCAAUUUUUUUGGUGAGCUUGUUGUACAAGAUAGUGGAAACGGUGUUAUCUCGAAGAAUUAGGGAGGUUGUUGGAGAGGUAGUGAGUGAAACACAAUGUAAAUUUACCAGAGGUAGACAAAUAUUCGAUGGAACUUUAAUUGUAAAUGAAAUUAUCCAUUCGAUUAAAAAGAAAGAUGGUAUUGGGGGGCAAUCUGAUUUUUAAACUAGAUUUUUCUAAAGCAUAUAUAUGAUUGUGUUUGUUGGGAUUUUUUGGAGUUAGUUUUACUCAAGAUGGGAUUUGGCGAGAAAUGGAUAGAAUGGAUUAUGGAGUGUGUAUCUAUGGCGAGAGUAGCAGUAAUUAUCAAUGGGUCAACCAAAAAUGAAUUCAGAUUCCGCCGAGGUCUCCAUCAAGGAUAUCCGUUAUCCCUAUUUUUAUUUAUCCUAGUGACGGAAGUGCUACAUUUCUCGAUGGAUAAAGCAGUGGAGAUGGGACUAAUUUAGGGCAUUCAAGAUGUUAUUCCCGUGUAGAUUUUUUCUCAUUUACUAUUCGCGAACGAUACUAUACUAUUCUUGAGAGCAGAUGAAGAUGAGGUGAGAAAUUCGAAGUAUAUUUUAUGGUGUUUUGAGAUCUUUUCAAGUCUUAGUAUCAAUUUCAAAAAAUCAUGUUUAGUAGGAUUUGAUGUGAAUGAAGAACUCUUAUAUCAAAUGGCUACAAUAUGUAAGUGUAAGAUAAGGUUUUUGCCUUUUAAUUAUCCAGGGAUUCUAUCGGGAGCAAAUCUGAGGAGAGUAUCCACUUGGGACGCAAUUGUAGAGAGAUUCAAGAAGAAAUUAUCGGGAUGGAAAUGUCGUCCGCUCUCAUGGGCUGCAAGGAUUGUAUUGAUUAAUGUUGUUUUGUCUGCCUUGCUAAUUUAUUUCAUGUCUAUAUUCCAAGCUCCAGUGACAGUUAUUAAAAGGAUCGACAAGAUAAGGAUAAAUUUUCUUUAGAGGAGUAUAAAUGGUAAAAGGAAGAUGGCAAAGGUAAGCUGGAAACAUAUAUGUAAGCCAAAGGAGAAGGGAGGAGCAGGAGUGGUGAAUCUCAUAAUUAAAAAUAGAGCUUAUUAGCAAAAUAGAGUUGGAGAUUCGCGGUUGAAAAAGACGCGCUGUGGCGAAAACUCAUCCUAGCAAGGUAUGGUUAGCGCACGCAACAGUGGCGCUUUAGGACGACUAAUCUAAAAAAUAUGUCGAUUGUAUGGAGAGGUAUUGUAGAAAAUUCUAAAGACGCUAAUUGUAAUACCCCUAACCCUUAUCCAUCACCAGAAUAGGGUUAUAAAGCUUUACCAGACUUUUCAAAAUCAAACACGAUCAUUUCAUAACAUUUAGUAUACAUAUUAAAAACUAUUCAUAUAAUACUCAUAUUGUCCCUUAUAUAGGCCCUCAAGGCCCAAAAUACACUUUAGAAGUGAGUCGGGAUUAAACCGGACACUCUAGAAAUUUUUCGCGAAAUGUCAAAAUUUUCCUUAGAAAUAAGGAACACACGCCCGUGUGGCCAAGCCGUGUGGCUCACAUGGCCUGAAGACAUGCCCAUGUCCUAAGCCGUGUGGGCAUUCAAUGUGAGGCACACGGCCGAGUCCCAGCCCGUAUCCUUACCCGUGUAAUUCUCUGACUUGUGUCACAUGGCCAACCACACGCCCUUGUGCUAGGCUGUGUGCAAAGUACAGGGGUCACAUGUCUGUGUGCUAGGUCGUGUGUAAAAACCUAGGCAUUCUGUUUUGAAAUUUCAAGGUGCAGGGGACACACGGCCAGAUCACAUGCCCAUGUGCCAAGCCGUGUGUCACACACGGCUGAGACACACGCCCGUGUCUCUGCCCGUUUGGACGAAAAUAGGCCAUUUUAAGGCCACUUUUCUCACCUUUUUUGACAUCAACCUAUAGACAGCAAUUCAAUAUACCAAAUAUCCCUAAUCAAGCAAUAAACACAAGCCAAAAAUCAUGUUUUAAGCAUAAUAAGCUAUCACGAAAUUCAAUUGUCUAAAUUUGCCAAACUAACUUCAUUCAUUGAUUUACCAAAACCUACUCCUAGCUAUAUACAUACAAACACACGCAUAUAUAUAUAAUUGUCAUUCAUAAUUAUACUCCAAGUAUAGCCUUUUUCAAUCCAUCCCUAUACAUGCCGUAUAAACCAUAAAAUGUACAACAAAAUCUACCGGAGUAAUCUAGAUAGUGUGACCCGAUGUGUUGAUUCGAACUUCUUGAAAAUCUACAAAGAACAUUAAACAACACAAGUAAUCUUAAUGAAGCUUAGUAAGUUCGUUGGCUUAAUACAUAAAUCUUACCGAACAUACCAUGACAAUUCAUUUAAGUAAAUCGUUCAUUACACAUUUCCUGCCAACUACAACUUUAAUCGAUGAAUUCGCUUCUUUGAGCUCAAUAUCAAUAAUAACCUAAAUUCUUCCACAUUAAUUCCAUAUAGCACUUGCCACUUCUUGUCAAUCAAAGAACGAUUUACGGAUUUGAGUACAUCGUAAACAAAAGCCCAAAGGUUGCACGAAAGAACAUAAGUGCUAAACUGAAACCUAUAAGGGUUGAACGAAAGCUCAUAAGAGCUAAAUGGAAACCCAUGAGGGUUAAACUGAAGCUCAAAAGAGCUGAACUAAAACUCAAAAGGGUUAUACUAAAGCUCAAAGAGCUAAACGGAAACCCAUUAAGGUUAAACGGUAACUUGUAUAAGUUAACUAAAGCUCAUGAGAGCUAAACGGAAAGUACACACGAAAUUUUGCAACAAAUGCUGAACCUUGAUUUACUUGGGUAAUUUACCGUCAAUUCCUCAUUUACACAGAACGACCUUACUCAAUCCGGCAUUCUGUUUGCUUCAAACAUUCAAUUCAAUUUCAUAACUUUAACAAUAAUAUUAUUUUCAACAAAUGACAUGAAUAAAUACAUAAUGUCAUUCAUCAAUUUAACAGUUAACAUUUAAAUUUAACCAUACGAACUUACUUGGGCUAAAUUGUAGAAUUCGUAGUAAUUCGGGGACUACUCAGCUAAUUUAUCUUUUUCACGAUUUUCUUCAGGCUCUUGAUCUAUAAUAUAAAAUUGUUCAUUUCUCAGUAUCUAAAUCAAUUCUAAUUCAUUUCAGAACUUAUGCCCUUUAAUUUUUGAAAUUACACAUUUGCCCCAACUUUUACAUUUUUUACAAUCUAGUCCCUCAUCAAUUUACCCAUCAAUUAAGCUAAUUUUUCUCAAUUAACACUUUAUCUAAUUAUUUUAAGUUACCAUAUACCCUUGAUAUUUAGAAUUUUAACACCAAACCCUAAUUCUUAACCUUUUUACAAUUUGGUCCUAAUAUCAAUAUCUAUCAAAAUUACUUAUUAAAAUCAUUAUAUAACAAAAUUAAAGCUUAAAUUCCAUGAUAAUUCAUCAUAAAAAUCCAUCAAUCAUCAAUGGUAACUUUUGAAAUUACCCAUAGAAUCAAAAACUAAUGAAAUAAGUAGUCGGACCUAAUUGUAAAAGUCUCAAAAACACAAAAAUUUCAAGAAAAGAGCAAGAAUUAAACUUACAUGAAGAUAAAAUAUGAAAACCAGCCUUGAGAGCUUUUCAAUGGUGUUUUUGGCUAAAGAAAAGUGAAGAAAUGUCUAGAGAUUCAAUUUAGUCCAAUUUUAACUAUUUAAUUUUAUUUCUUUUCCAAUUUUGCCCCUUGUUCACACUUAUCCUUUGAUUUUUUUCUGCUUGUACCGUCCAAGCCUUUCACUUUGGGCUAAUUUUCCCUUUUAGUCCUCCCUUAUUAAACACUUAAGUUAUUUAAUCAUUUUAGCAAAUUUUGCACAUUUUUCAAUUUAGUUCUUUUUAAUUAAUUAACCAUCAAAACGUUAAAAUUUUCUAACAAACUUUUGAUAGUAACUCAAUGACACUCCGUAAAUAUUUCUAAAAUUAUUUACAGCUCAGUUUAUAAAUUUUAGGCCUCGAUACCUCGUUUUCAAAACCACUUUUCUUAAAAUUCUUCUAAAACACAAACCACCAAAUCAAAAAUCUUUCUAAAAUCACACUUGACUCGUAAAUAAUAAUUAAUAAAAUUUUCAAACUCACUCGUCAGAUUUAGUGAUCUCGAAUCACUAUUUUUGACACCACUAAAAGUUGGACUGUUACACUAAUGUUUCUAAAUGGGUGGGGAACAAAGCUUUUAGAUGGAUGGUUGGGAAUGGAAGGAUGGCGAUGUUUUGAGAGGAUAUUUGGUGUUGUAAUCAACCACAAAAAAAAAAGAAUUUCCUAGAGUUUUUCGCUUAGCAAGAAAAAAGAAAGGUAUGGUAACAGAUUACUCGAGCAACAAUGGUUUCAGCAAUAUGAAUUACGGUGAAUUCUAACGAAGCUUUUAGAUGGAUGGUUGGGAAUGGAAGGAUGCGAUGUUUUGAGAGGAUAUUUGGUGUUGUAAUCAACCACAAAAAAAAAAGAAUUUCCUAGAGUGUUCCGCUUAGCAAGAAAAAAGAAAGGUAUGGUAACAGAUUACUCGAGCAACAAUGGUUUUAGCAAUGUGAAUUAUGGUUAAUUCUUUACACGAACAUUAUUGGAUAGAGAGGUUGUGAUGCUUCGUAGAUUGGAGGAUAUGGUGAAAAGCAUGGAGUUAGUUCUAGAGGUGAAGGAUCAGCUAAAUUGGGUGCAUGAUAGUAAUGGGGAGUUCACGGUAAAGAAGUUAUCUAACUUAUUAAUUAAGGUUGGAGGGGAAGACAUAAGUUUUGCUUUUGAAAAAAAUUGGAAGUUAAAGGUACCACCGAGAGUGCGAAGUUUUCUAUGGAUGCUUGCUAUUGAUAGAUUCCUACAAAUGAAUUUCUUGUUAAAAGAGGGGUAUAGCUUCAACACAUUUCAAUCAAAUGUGCAUAGUAUGAAAGAGUACCAGAGAGAGCAGAUAAUCUAUUCUUCAAAUGCAAAUAUAUUGAAGGGUUUUCGUAUAAAUUUUUCAAAUGGUGGGAGGUUGAAUGGAAAUCGGUAGAACGAUUUGCUAAUUUUAUUCUUUGUGUUAUAAUGUGAAAUUGUUAGGAAUCCGAAGAAUGUUAUGGUUGCUAUCAAUUUCGGCAGCUUGCUGGUCAGUGUGGACAGAAAGAAAUGAAAUUGUCUUCGAAAGAAAGGUGAUGACUAUGGAAGCUUUGAUAUUUCAAUCCAAGAUGAGGGCAAUGUUGUGGAUAAGGGUUGUAUAUGAUGAGUUAAUGGUGCAGGAGAGCUCUUGGUGGAUUUGUCCGAACAAGUGCAACUUUAAUACAAUUAAACCAGAUCCUCUUCGUCGAUAUGGCGCCUUCCUCCACAAGGCUAUCUGAAUUUCAAUGUAUGCGGGAUAGUAAAUGAGAAAGUUGCAGGUUGUGGUGGAGUACUAAGAGAUAUGGAGGGUGUUGCAAGAGCUUUAUUUUCGGGUCCUAUUGCAGCUAAUGACGCAGAUUCAGUAGAGGUAGAGGCAGUGUUUAUAGCAUUGGAUUUGUUGUUAUCCAUGGGAUGGAAGAUUAAUAGCUCUCUUAUUGUAGAAAUUAGUUCAAAAAUGGUGUACAAUUGGUGUCUGAACAAGAAUAUGAGACUGUGGUCGUUACAAACAACAUUUUCAGAUAUUGAAAGGAAAAUUGAGCAGGUUGGUAGUGUAGUAUUCUUGAUGGCAGAUCAAAAGGUAAUGAAAUGGCUUCAACCUUGGCGAUAGUAGGUAUUAAUCGUGGUGACAUGUUUAAAGCUUGUUAGUGAGUAUUAGCUUUGAUUUCGAAUAAUAGUUUUCAAUUGUAGGAAAUGUUUCAUUGUGGUAUUUUGUAAGUUGUACCUUUGAAUGUUGUUCUUGUUGUAUUUACAAUAGAUUAGUUUGAAUGAAGCAAAAAAAAAGUUGGUGGGUACCGUGUGCCCCCUCUCUUCACGCCUUACUAUAUAAUAAUAAUAAUAAUAAUAAUAAUAAUAAUAAUAAUAAUAAUAAUAAUAGACAAGCUUAAGAAUAUAAAAAGCCUUUACUCAUUGCCUAAGAUAAAAUUUAAUCCUCAUUAAUAUCUUAAAGAGAAAUCUUUCUAAAUAAUAAUAAUAAAAUAAUCCUAAAUUUUAAAUGUCUUGUAUGUCAACUUCUCAAUCCAACGAUAAAUUUACUUUUUUAUAUUGUACUCUAACACUUCGAACAUGCGCUAUAUUUAUAUAGAAAAUAGUCAAUAAAAUACCAAAGUAGUAACAUCCAUGUCCAAAAUUAAUCAGAAUAAAUCAUUAAAAAAAUGUCUAUUAAGAACAUUAUCAAAUCCCCCCUUAAUCAAUACUUGCCCUUAAACAUUUUAUGCAUUCAUCAUCUAAACAUAUCACAAUCAUCAAAGCCAAUUCAAUUUUCACAGUCCUUAGUUCAAUAAAAAAAAUAAGCACUAUCAAAAUUUUAACCCUACAACCGUCUCGCUCAAGCAAGCACAUAGAUUAACAAUUUAUGAUAAGUGCUAAAAGUAACAUAUUUUAACCUCGUUCUAUAACAUCUCAAAAUUGGGGGUUAGAAGUUUUGAGGUUUGUAGUGAGGGUCAGCGAGUAGGUCGAACAAUUGGUUUUAUUUUCGCUUUUUAAUAUCAAAAUGAGCUUGUUGGUUUGAUGGUAGAGUAUGUUACUAGUUUCCCUUGGACGAGUGUUUGAAUCCCAAUGUGAGAAUAAAGGAAGUUUUGUUUUAAUUUUAUUUAUAUUUUUUAUUUGAAAAAAAUAGAAGAAAAUCCUAAAAAUUUCUCACGUUCUCCACUUUCUCUUUCACAUCAGUCUCCCUCUUUCGGUAAAGAAAAAUUAUAGAUUCUGAUUUUCUUUCUUUUCUUUAUUGGGUUUCAAUACUUUUGUAAACCGCUGCCUUAAAAUCCUGGUGGUGCUUUUGUUCUUCGUUUGAUCAGACGUCGAAUAGGUUUAUUCGGUUAAUACUUGGUAAUUUGAUAUAAAUUUUAGGUCGAAAUUGUUUAUAGCUUUAGUAUGUUUGCAGAACUGAGUUUCAGGUCGUUAGAGUAAAGGCGAAGUGGUCGGUUCUUGGUGCUCUGGAACAUCAAUCAGGUGUGUGUUCUGAAAAUGUUUAAUUUUGGUAUCGAAUUGCUAUUGGAUUCUAUGGAAUUCAGCAGUUUCUAGUGUGUUUAUGAAAUUGUGUGAAUUCGGUAACGAAUUGUUGUUGGAUUUUAGGGAAAUAUGCAAAAUUCUGAUGUGUCUUGAAUGGUUAGCGAUUUGGGGUUUGUUUUGCUGUUGUGAAAUUGCAAUUUUAGCUUGUUUCGGUGUGGUUUCUUUACCACAUGGGCGUGUGCCGCACACGAGUAGUCCACACGGUCGUGUGACAUUGGAAAUUUGGGAUUUUGGACUUUUUUUAGUGCCACACGGUCGUGUGGCAGCUAUUUAGGGAUUUUUGUGUGCCUUGGACACACGGUCGUGUCCCUUAGCCAUACGGGCAUGUGAGAUUCCCACACAGCCCUGUUUACUUUGCUCCUUAUUUUGACAUUUUUGGACAGUGAGUGACAUUAAUUAUUCACACGACCAUGUAACUCGGUCGCACGGGUAUGUGUCUCCUCCACACGAGAGUGUACAGCUUGCACACGGGCGUGUAGACCACCACACGACCUAGUAGACCUCCACACAACCUAGGCACUACCACACAGCCGUAUGGCCCUGUUUUGCAAAUUUUUGUUCAGUGUUGAAAUUUUGCUCGUUUUGUGUUUCUGUAUAUUUCAACCCUUGGUUAAGUCUUGGUAACUGUAUUUGGGACUCCGCUGCAAUAUGGAUUUAAGUGUGUAUGUAUGUGUUCAGUUUAGGUAAUCAGGAAAUGUAUUAAUGGAUUAUGAUGAAUGAGCUUGAAUUGCUUACUUGUUGUCGUAAUUCUGAAAUAUGUACAAACGCUAUUGAUUUUGAAAUUGUUCGGCUGAAUGUGAGUGACGGUCUCUGUGAGUCUAUUAGCGUAUGUUGUGCAUUCAUGCAUUUGCAUAAAAUCGAGGUUUUUAGUUGCGAAGAGAAGGAAGGCUGAUUGGGUAGUUCAACUGCAAUAUUUUUGUACAGCAGUUUACCGUAAUGAUUUAUACAUUUGUCAGCUAAGCUACAUAUUGUUAUUCGAGUGGCUUAGUUCCACAAUAUGUGGUGUGUAGGGUAGAUGGGCCUAUCAUGGUCCUAUGUCGUGUGCAGGGUGGACGGGCUUGAUAUAGCUCAUAGGUGGUGUGCAGGGUGGUCGAAGUGGUCUUCAGAUGGUUGGGGUGGGUUUUUGACUCGUUACAUUCGCUACGCAUCUAAAUAUAUGUUUGUUUAUGUGAGCAUUGAGGUGUUGGAGAUAUGACCAUUAUAACUUGAUGUGUUUUAUCUAAUAUGUGGUUUGGUAUGCUUUAAAAGCACCAUGUUAUUGAAUUACCCAUUGAGAUUUCCAUUUAUGAUUUGUGCUCAUAUACUGUUUUGGAAUACUCGAUGUGUUACUCCGUUUUGUUGAUUGCUUUUGAUUUCAGACUCACAUUGAGCUCAAGUAGCUCACCUCACCUUAGUGUUUCAUUCUUCGAGGUACUUUUCGUGUUCGAAAGCUGGACUCGGCAUGCCGGAGGUUUCAGACUAUCGAGUAAAUUGAUUUUGGUUCAAAUGAUGCUACUUAAAAAUUCAGUUGUUAUUUUCAAAUGGUUCGUAGGAAAGAUUAUAAAAAAUGUGGUAUGAGUUAAGUCUGGAUUUUCGAUCAACUAGUUGUUACGGUUUUAAACAAUUUAUAUGUUCCGUUAUAUCAAGGUUUCGAAAUUUUGGUUUGUGAAUGACAAAUUUAUGCUUUCAGAACUGUCAAAUGAUUCCAUAAGAAUUACUUCCGACUUGCGUCGAAUGCCAUUUAAAUGAUUCCAUAUGAAUUACUUCCGACUUGCGUCGAAUGCCAUUUAAACUUUGUUUCAAAAUUUAAUUAAGUGUUAUCUAACUUUCUAAAAUUACAUGCUUGUGACAGAGUUUUUAUCUCAACCACUUUAGGUGGUCAAUGUGACCUCCGAGAUUCGGUCUAAACUUUUAGGUCGGGUUUUAGGGUGUUACACAUUCUUAGUGUGUUUUUGGGUGAUUAUUCAAUGUUAAUGGUGAAUUUUAUGCUUCUAAUCCUUCAAAUUCUUAUUUUUAUGCUUAAAAGGGCAUUUGGGAGUAAAACAAGCAAAAAUUGGAGUAAGGUACAAGAGACACACGGGUUGACCCCUUCCACACUUCCUGAUAUUUAAAAUAAUCUAGAAAUAUAACCGAUUUUGAAAUAAAAUUUAAACAGAUUCUGAAAAAAAUUUUAACAGAUUCCCUAAAAAUCGUGGUUUUUCGCAUUUCAAAGUGCAAUUCUGCAAAAUUGACAUGACCUGCCACAUUGAAGCUGAUUUUGAAGUAGAUUUCUGUCAAGAUUGAAGACUCCCAGUUGAUUUCUUUGGAGAUUAUCAUUUCUUUAUUUCUUUCGGUUAUAUUAUAUCUUUGAUGUUUUUAUUUUCAAGCAUGAACUAAUUUUCUAAAUACAUAGGGAGAUGAACCCUAGGAUGGAUUCUGUCGUUUGAUUUUUAUUUUGCUCAAUAAAUACUUAGAUCUUAAUUCUUGAUAUAAUAUUUCUAGAUUAUUUAUCCAUGUUUGGUGUGCUUAAAUCAGAGGAGGAAUAGACCCUGUUUAAGAGUAGAUCUUGCGUAAUUGAGUGGAUUUGCAUGCAAUCCUAGACAUAAGACAACAUAAAUCUAUCGAAUUAGAGUCAAAUCUAAUAAGGGAAUUCAUAGCACAAGUUAAUGCGAUAAUAGGGGUUUUAAUUAGAAAGAAAUUUCAAUUAAUCAAUCUUGAGUUAGUUGCUCUUAUUCUCGAAAGAAAUAUUUGUAUAAUCUAGGGAUUUUUACAAAUCAAGUUGCUAAGUAAAGAAAUUGCGUAACUUAGAUUGAUAACGACAGAUGAAACCUAGAUGAGUAUUGUUUCGCUUCUUGGUUGUUAAUCGCUUAUUUUUCUGAUAUAUUUUUUGUCACAUUCUUUAGUUAGUUAAUUUAGUUAAUUUUAAUUUUAAUCAAUCACUCAAAUUUAUCGGUUAAAUAAUAAAAAGACAGUAUUUACUAGUACUUUUAGUCUUCGUGGAAACGAUAUCUUUAUUCACCGUAACUAUAUUGUUAAUUGAUACGUACACUUACCUUAGUCAAAUUUUUAGUUGUUCACGACACAUCAAUUCAAUUAAGCAUACAAUUAUUAAAUUAUCUCAUAAUUAAGCUGCACAACAUUAACUUACGUUAAAUUGUCAAGACACCAAAAUUAACAACCAUUUGUCCCAUAUUUUUGUGUUCAUUUUUUUUUCUUUUAAAAGUUUAUCUAGAGUGUCACGAGAUCUUUUUCCAUGAAAAAGGAUGACAAUCCAAACACUCCACUCCGAUUAAUCAAUUCACCACAUGUUGACUAACUUUAGUCAAAAUUGUUAAGAUCAAUAGAAUAGCUGAAUAGCUUAGAAUGUCACUAAAUCUUUUGACGUGAAGACAAAUGACAACCUAAGCACUUGACUCAAGUUACUCAAUCGAUCACAAUUCUAAGACUUUACUCAUAAUUUAGGCAAUUAAUGAGUAUUUAUUAAAUUAUUUUAUUGAUUAUUUUUUUCAAUUUUUUUUUGUUCGAAUGCAAGAUGAAACAUGUUUUAAGAGUAUUAAUCUCGUUAAAAAUUGCGUGAGCCUAAUUUUUUUUUUUUUGGUGAGUGCUUCAGCUAAGUAAUUAAUAAUUAUUAUUAUUUACUUUAAAAUAAAAUAAAAUUCAUGUAAAAGAGUAGCAUAUAUAGGCAGAGUAUUUAAACAUGCUUAAUAGAAAAUAUUCUAUCAAUUUUUGAAUCGCUUAAACAAUAAAAUGAUAUCUAAAUUAUAUUAAUUUUUUAAAAUUGGUAUUUAAAUUUUUCUUAAGUCAAAAUGGUACCUAAACAAUUAAUCUAUUAUCUAUUUAAUUCAGCCAAUCAAUUGCCACGUAAAUAUCUAUUUAUUUUUUUCAAAAUAUUACUAAAAUUUGAUAAAUAAAAUUAAAAAUAGUUAAAAAUAAAACAUCAUAAAUUUAAUAAAAUUUAAACCUUACGAAAAAAACAUUUUACUGAUUGAAAAAACAUCAUAAAUUAAUGCUACCAACAACUCCUAGAAAGAGUAUCCACUAAUAACAAUAAACUUACAUGAGUGAGGGAUUUAUUGAAACAAUCAGCAACCAAUUUUGACACUUUUUACCAAUUAUUUUAUAUAUUUAUUUUUUAUUAUUAUUAAAAAAAUUAAUUUAACUCUUUAAAAAUUACAAAGAUAUAGACUAUUAAAAUGAUGAAAUUAUUUAUUAUUAUUAUAAAAAUAUACAAUUUAAUUUCGACCUCCCAAUAAAUAUUUCAAAAUCCGCCACACGAAUGAUCCAAAUAAAAAGACGACAGUCAAUACAAUUAAAUUUAAAUUCUCACUUAAAUCCAAAUUCAAAGUAAAACAAAUGUGACAGAAUGAAUCAAAUAGUGGGAGAAUGUUUUUCAAGAAGUAGAAAUGCAAAAAUAGCUUCAAAAUCUACUCUUACUAAAAAAAAAGAAAAAUAAGAAAGAAUUUAUUAUCUUUUAUACUAUUAAUCUCUCACAUAUACGGCCAAGCUACUCUGAACGUACAACGCACCCAUUUGCGUCAUUGCAAACGCAAUUUUGGUCCUUAUGCUAUAAUAAAGGGGGAAAUGAUUCUGGUUUAGACAAGAAAAAUGAAUGCGUUGAUGAAGCUUCUAAUUCUUGCUCCAUGUUGUUUCUUCUUCAUAGCUUUAAUAAAGUUACUUUAUGAUUACCUAUGGAUACCUCUCCGUAUUCAGCAUAUGCUGAAUUCACAGGGGAUCAAAGGACCUCCUUACAGAUUCAUCCAUGGCAACAACAUGGAAGUUACCAAAAUGAAACAAAAUGCUUUAAGCAAAUCUGUGGCCUUGACAGAUGAUCUAUUUCCCAAAGUACAUCCACAUAUUUACACCUGAACCAACAGAUAUGGUAAGAUCCAUGCUUGUUUUUUUCACUAUGAUUUAUAACUUGUAGUUCUAAGAAAAGGUAGACCCUUUUUCUUUUCAUGUUAUUAGGGAAGAAUUUUGUUUAUUGGAACGGUGCUCGAGCUGAAUUGGUGAUUUCAGAGCCUGAAUUAAUCAAAGAGGUUCUGGAAAAUAGUGAACAAAUUUUUCAGAAAAAGAAACCUUCAGAUAUUGGUGGGAAGUUCUUGGGGAAUGGUCUUCUAUUCAUUGAGGGGGAAAAAUAGCCAAAGCAUCGAAAGCUGGCCAAUCACACUUUCCAUGGGGAAAGCCUAAAGGUAAGUCUUCCAAAUAUAUAAACCAGGUGCAAUUAAUUUACAAGAAUUAUACAUAGACCACAAUAUUUUGGUAAAAUUUUGUAUUGUUAGCUAAGGAUAAGUUUAUUAUGGACGUUGAAAAAGUGUAGUAAAAACAUACUUUCGAAGAUUUUAACACCAUUUACUACUUAGGAGGUCAAUUUUAAACUUGAUGCUGUAAAAUAAAAGAUUGAAUCAGAGAUUUAAAAAAAGUAAUUUCAUUAAAAAGCACUCUUUUAGCUUUUAGACUUGGAUUAAAAUCUAGUUUGAAAUAAGAUUUAGUUUGAAAAGGUGUUUAUUUGUCAAAUUUUUUAAUUUAAAAUCAUGAUUUUGUGUUAAAAAGUGUUUUUCAGACUCCAAUUAUAUAUGUCACUAUUACUUACAUGUUGGAGGAUUCUUUGGGCAGAACAUGACUCCAGCAAUAAUUGCUAGUGUUGAAACAAUGCUAGAAAAGUGGAAAGGCCAAGAAGGCAAGGAGAUUGAAGUGUACCAAGAAUUUAGGUUAUUAACUUCAGAAGUGAUUUCCAGAACAACAUUUGGUAGCAAUUACAUGGAAGGGGAGAAGAUAUUUGCCAUCUUGAGCAAGUUGGCAGUAAUUAUGAGUCGAAAUGUUUCCACGACUAGAAUUCCUUUGAUCAGGUAUCUUCCCUCUAAGCUUAAUUAAUCCCAACUUUUACCUUGAUUUCAUGUAGCCUUUGAAUGCAACUUUUAGACUUUCAUUCCCCGUGGAUUUGGUUUUCUCAUAUAUAGCUGACCCUGGUUUGCUUUUGCAGCAAGUUGUGGAAAUCUGCUGAUUUGCUAGAGUCUGAAAAACUUUCAAAAGAAAUGAAAGAUCGUGUGAUGAAGAUUGUUAAGAAAAGAGAAGACAAAGUUGUGAAUGGAGAAGUCAAUAGCUUCCGCAGUGAUUUUCUUGGAUUACUUCUAAAUGCCUAUUAUGAUUCGGAUGCGAAAAACAGGCUUUCAUUGGAAGACGUGGUAGCUGAAUGCAAAACACUCUAUUUUGCUGGACAAGAAACUGUUAAUUCCUUACUUGCAUGGAUAGUCUUGCAUUUGGCAAUCCUUGGAGAUUGGCAAGAAAAAGCGAGAAGAGAGUUGGUUGACAUAUUUGGUAACCAAAAUCCACAUCUCGAAGGCAUCGCCAAACUCAAAAUAGUAAGAAAACUAUAAAACUGGGAAUUCAAAUAGCCAUCGACAUGAUGUAAUCUGACAUAUUAUUCUAUUUUCCAAACAGAUGACCAUGAUCAUCAAUGAAGCUCUAAGAUUGUAUGGUCCAACAAAUGUCCUCCAAAGAACAGGUACAAGAGAAAUUCAGUUGGGAAAGCUAAUCUUGCCUGCUAAUAUAGAUAUUCUGCCUUUAAGUAUUGGACUUCACCGGGACCCUCACUUUUGGGGAAAUGAUGUGCAUCAUUUUAAACCUGAGAGAUUCGCUGAAGGGAUUGCCAAAGCUACCAAUUACACCGCGGCUGCCUUUUUCCCCUUCGGAUUAGGACCUCGAUCUUGUGUUGGUAUGACAUUUGCAAUGAUAGAAACCAAGAUUGCUCUCUCCAUGAUUCUACAACGCUACACCAUUACCCUUUCCCCUGCCUAUGUCCACUCUCCAGUACUUAUUCUUACCCUUCAACCCCAAAAUGGAAUUCAAGUAAUACUUGAGCCGAUACAUAGUAAUGCUUGAAGUACAUAGCCGUUAAGAACUAGAGGUUUAACAUGGUUCGUGAAUUCUACUUUUAAGAGAUGAUAUUUAAUAUGUUUAAAGGUUCUAGCAUUUAUCACAAAGACAAACGACUCGUGGUCAUGUUUACUUUUCAUCUAUCAUGCAAUGUCGAUGAGAAGAUACCAUUUACCAAUUAGUUGGGUUAUGAAUUCUACUAUUUUGAAUGAUGUUACAUACUAUAGAAGUUGUGUAUCCAGUGCACCAACUUUUAAUGGUUCUUUAUCUUAGCCUUUUACUUGCAUCAAAGUAUACGAGCCAUGCAUGCAUAGUCCAUCAUCCACUCAAGAUUAAGGUAUAUCACACUAUGAACAUCACAAGUAAAUAGAUCCAUAAAUGGAUUUAGAAUCGAUUCUCCUUGGGUCUUAUCUGAUGUACUGUCAGUCCAGUCAAUCACAUCUAUGUUUUUAUCUUUUAGGAGUCAUCUGUUCCAUUUGAGACAAAGCUUCUCCACAAUUGGGCUUGAUAGACGACAUAUUAGUUUCUCAAUCGAUUUGCUCAUUUUCAAUUAGACUAAGGACAUAUUUAGGUUUAUCUACUAAUACAAGCUAUCUUUUCAUAUCACGAUCUGACCACGUGAUACCGCUUAGUAUUAAUUUAAACAUUAGAUAACCAAUGAGUCAACAUUUGCUUCCAUUUUGCUUUGCAUGCAAAAACAUUGAGGACAAUAUCCAAAGGGUAUUACUUUAAUUAAUAGAUAUUAUUAAACCAAUUUGUUUGAAAAAUACAAUUAUAUAAAACGAACAUAGUACACUUAGUGUACCAGAUCCAACAGUGGCCACUACAGCUAGCAUUGCCAUUAUAAGCAACAUAACUUGACAUUUUUGGAGUUGAAAUCUUUUCAGCAAAAUCAGUUGGGCAACGACUUAGAUGAUUUUGUGGACAUGUGUUGGCUCAUAUUUGAAGAUCCAUUUUGUGGAAUCAAUCUUUGAAUAUUAAAUCAAUCUGAAUCAAGCAAAUUGGAUCACUUAUUUUGUGGAGAUUGGCUUGACUUAUUUGAAAAUUUAUUUUCGAAAUCUUUGAUUUAUUCUUGACUUUGAGGAUAUUUGUAAAGUUUUUUUUUACAAGGCUAUUUUUUGUGGGAUAUUGAUUCUAAUUGAUCUUUUAUCUUUGCAAACAUUAAAUUCUUAUAUAUUAGAGGCUUGUAUAAGUUAAAAAAAGAUAGAGUUUUUAUAGCACUUAUUUUUUUCAUUGAGGAACUUGUAUUUGAUAGUGCAUUAAGAGUGUAAAUUAAGUUUGUUGCUUGGUUUUACAACCAAAAUUCUCAAGGGAAUUUAGUGGUGAGUGAUUUAGAUCUUUAGAUACAAAAGUGAGGUUGCUAUACCGAGUUGUGAUAGGACUUCAAUAACUUGUUGUCUUGGGAUUAAAAAUAAUGAAUUUACUCACUAAGUUAGGUUUCAUAGACAUAGAAAAAUCGAUAUGCGUAAACAAUCAUUUGUGUUCCAUUUUUUGUUGUUGUGUUCAUCAUAGUGGCAUCAAAGGUUGCCACUACAGCCAUCACUUUGGUCAUCAAUUACGCACUUUAUUUUUUUAAGCAAUUAUCAACUUUAUGCUCCAAGAGAAUGCUUGUUUCUAGUACAAUUGAUCAAUUUUGUAGGAAGCAUAAUGACAAAAAAGAAAAUGGUUACAAUCAACCCCUUCUGUAACAACUCCAUUUGUAUCUUUGCAUGUUAUAAAAAGGUGGUUGUUAUAUACUAUAACAACAUGUUGUUAUAAAAAGAUAAUUAUUGUAAACCUAAAAUAGAAUUUAUAUCGUGAAUUACUAUCAAAUAAAGAAAUUGAGAAUUAUAUUAAAAAAAGGAAAGUAGAAAUCAAAUCAACAAAAUUAAAAGAUGUAUAAUAGGUGCAUGCAUUAUUACCUUUAUAUUUUAUUUUACAUUUUUCACAUGAUUAAUUAUAAAAUUCAUCAAUCUAACAAAUAAUUAAUCGAUAUGAGUUUAAAUUAAAUUAAAUUAGUUAAUUUAUCAUGUGUUAUUAAAUACAAGUAAUUAAUUUAUAAGAUUAUGAUGUUCUAAAUUCAUAGUAAAUUAAUAUUUAAUUAGAGAACUUAAUAGUUUAUUGAAUUGAUAUCUUUAAUUCCACGAAGAUUUUUCAUGUCAAAUUUAAACAUUUUAUUAAAAUAAUAUUUUAGUUAAGAUCAUUUUUAUUUAAUAAAUUAGAAUUCAUAUAAGCAAUAUAAUUAAUCAUAAUAAAUUAUAAUUAAUAGGCUUGUAUAUCGGUCCAGUGUAAUUAAUAGACUUGCUUAAAUGAGUUUUAAAAUAUAUUUUUAAAUUUAAAAUUUUAUUUCUUGAAUAAUGAAUUGUUACCUGCUUAAUUUAUGAAAUAUCUUUAUUGACUUAUUUGAUUGCAUUGGUGAAACAAUUAUUUUAGUAUUUUUAAAUUUUAUGUAUAUAAAAUUUUUAAAAAAAUAAUAAUAAAUCUAAAAUGACACAUCGAAACAGCUGAAUAUUGGCACAUGCGAAUACCAAUAAAAAAAUCAACAUCCACCAAUUUACCCGUUACUUUUUGGUAUUAGGUAGUGGGAGAUUUGGUUUUUGCUUUUGUUUUUGAGAUGUUGAUAUGUUUCACAUCAUCCAUAAGAUGGGCUCUACCUCACCUUUUGUUUGUCUGUUUCCCAUGCUUUCCAUACAAAUCACUAAAAGAAUGGGCUAAAAUGUCAAAUAAACUCUUCAAAAAUAAUUUUUAAAAAACUUAAUUAAGUCUCUUAUAAUAAAGUGCACCAAAUUGAGCUUUUUUAAAUCACAAUUUGCACUUAAUUAAUCCCCUUGAAUUCAUUUUCCCAUUGAAUCCCUUUACGUUCAGUUAACUGCUGACGGGGCAGGUGAUGUGGAAAAAUGAUGGUGUGUUAAUUAGUUUAUAUGGCAAGCUAACAUGGAGGGCUUAAAUGAUUUUUUAUUAUUUUACAAGGGUUUAAUUAAUUAUUUAAAUAAAAAUUAUUAAAAUUUUAAAAAAUCUAAUUUUAAAAUAUAAAUUAUAAAAAUCAUAAAAAAUAUUUUAAAAAUAUUAAAAAUGAUAGAAAAUUUUUAAAUGUUAUAAAUAGUUUAUAAAAACACAGGAAAUUUAUUAAAACAUCGUUAAAUAUAAAUACAUUAUCAUAAAAAUAGCAUAAAAUUUUAGAAAUUAUUAAAAAAUACAAAGAAAUACGAGUAAGUUAGAGAAAAUUAUUAAAAAUACAAAAAAUAUUAAAAAUUAGUAGUAACUUUUAUAAAAAUUAUUAAAUAGAUUUUUUUAUUGGUUUGGAGUGUUUGGCAUUUUCAAUUUUAUUUUUUUGGACAUUAGAGUCUUUGGUUUUAGUAAUAAGGAAAUGGGGAGAUUGAAGUGCGAUGAUCAAACUUGUGAGGGGUUUGAGUGACCAUGGGUUUAGUACUUGAUGGCUUAAAGUGAGCGAUCAAUAGAGGUGUUCAUGGACCGAUCCUGUUCAAAAAAUAAAAAAAAUGUUAAAGAAAGCUUUUCUAAAUAUUUUAUAUAUCUUAUAAUUAAGUUAAAAAUAUAUUUUUAUUAUUUUUAAAAUGGCGAAACGAAUCAUUUUGGCGAGCUAGGUCUAGUUGGGCUCAAGCCUAGAAAGUUUUAUGAAAUUAGGCUUAAGCUCCACCCAACUCAUGAAUACCUCUAGUGAUAUAUAAUGAUGUUGUAUUUGAGGAAAGAUGAUGCGAGGGACAUUAAUAAGGAAGGGUUGAUAUAUGAUGUAUGACAAUGCGUGAGAGAAAACAAAAAUGUGUAAUAAUUUUAAAUUUUUUAUAACUUUUUCUUUAAUUUUUAUAUUUCUUUAUAGUAUUUGAAUAGUUUUAAUAAAUUUUAUAUAUUUUUUCUAAAAAAAUUUAUAACAUUUUAUAUUUUUCUAUAUUUUAAUGUCUUAUAAUUGUUUAUAAAUUUAUAAUAAUUUUUAUGAAUUUUUAAUUUAUAUUUAAAAACUAGAUUUUUUUUUUAGAAUUUAAAAAUCGAAACAAUUGAAUAGGUGGAAUCGCUUCUUUAAAAAAUAUUUUUUUAUAUUUUUAUGAAAUUUUAAUUAUUUAUUUAAUCGUUGUUAGUUUAAGAGCCGAUUGAAUUAAGAAUCGAGAAUUUUAGACAUUGUGUCCUAACUUACGGGACGUGAUUCUUCUUCUGGAUUAACGUAGAAAUAUGCUUCUCUCUUUAAAGUUUAUUUUUCAAAAUUUUGAUAAAGGAUCGUAUUUUGAAUCUUUUUCAAGUUUUCAAUAUUCGACACUAAGACAUUAAUUAAUCAACUAGGUAUCAAUUUUGGGCGUUACGAGGGUGCUAAUCCUUCCUCGUGCGUAACCGACUCCCGAACUUAUUUUUCUAAAUUUCGUAGACCAAAACCGUUGUUUUAAUAAAAUCAAAUCGUUUAUUAAAAACAACUACUUUUCGAGGUGACCCGAUCACACCUCAUAAAAAAAAAGGAUUGGUGGGGACAUUUGUUUUCGUUUUCAAAAUCCAAGUCAAGCCCGUUUUAUCAAAAAAAUGGUUACUAGCUUUAGUCAAAAUUGUUAAGAUCAAUAGAAUAAGCGAAUAGCUUAGAAUGUCACUAAAUCUUUUGACGUGAAGACAAAUGACAACCUAAACACUUGACUCCAGUUACUCAGUCGAUCAGAAUUCUAAGACUUUACUCAUAAUUUAGCAAUUAGUGAGUAUUUAUUAAAUUAUUUUAUUGAUUAUUUUUCAAUUUUUUUCUUUUGUGAUCGAAUACAAGAUGAAACAUACUUUAAGAGUGUCAAUCUCGUUAAAGAUUGUGUGAGCCUAAUCGUUUUUUUUUUUUUUGUGAGUGCUUCAGCUAAGUAAUUAAUAAUUAUUAUUAUUUACUUUAAAAUAAUAAUAAAAUUCAUGUAAAAGAGUAGCAAUGGCAUAGUAUUGAAACAUGCUUAAUAGAAAAUAUUCUAUCAAUUUUUGAAUGGUUUAAACAAUAAAAUGAUAUCUAAAUUAUAUUAAUUUUUUAAAAUUGGUAUUUAAAUUUUUCUUUAGUCAAAAUGGUAUCUAAACAAUUAAUCUGUUAUCUAUUUAAUUCAGCCAAUCAUUUGCCACGUAAAAUAUUUAUUUAUUUUUUUCAAAAUAUUACUAAAAUUCGAUAAAUAAAAUUAAAAAUAGUUAAAAAUAAAACAUCAUAAAUUUAAUAAAAUUUAAACAUUAAGGGAAAACAUUUUACUGAUUGAAAAUACCCUUAAUCAGAUUUUACUAACAAUCCCUAUUUUUUUCAAACAAAUCACAAACUCUUUUAGUUCAAAAAAUUGCAAAUCAUCUUUUUACAACCUUCAUUAAUCCUUUGUGGAAUUGAUAGAAGGGUACGUUUGAAGAAUUAAUUUGUUUUUCUUGAAACCCUUGUUUGUCAAUUUCAUUGAUGAAACCUUUCUAAUUUCAUCAGUAUUUGAUUUUUAUUUUAGGUUAAUCGUAAAACUUUAAUUGAUUUGGGCAAACCGAAGGAGUUGUAAAAAGGUUGAAAGGUAUGAUUUAGGCUUAAGGGUUCUUUUAUAGUUAAUAUGUAGAAUCGAAUGUAUGUGACUUUUGGCAAGUUGUCGGUUCUUGAAAUUUUAUAUUGAGAAAGUAGAACACACCUUUUAAGGGGAAGUUCUUUGUUUGACUCGAGAUUAUUAGUCUGUUGACAAAAAGCCAAAAAAAUGUGCCAUUUGCUUUGAAGUUAUUUAUGAUUGUUUACGAUAAAUUGAGGGUUUUUAAUGGUGUUUAUAUAUGUAUUUUGUUAAGAUACAUAAUGAUACAACUAGAGUUUGUGAUAUGUUUUGAGAUGAUAGGCUUCUCGAUUAUGUGAUUUAUUGUCCUUAGCUAAUUCAAAUAUAGAUUAAUGAGGUUGGUUUAAUAUAUGUUGUAGGGAACAACGAAAAUGGGGAAAUAUUAAAUAUUACCCUAAAACAAAUUGAUAAUUAAUAUAGUUAAAUUAAAUCCAUUUUGUUUUGGCAAAUGAAAACCAUUGGUUUUUAAAGGUUUGAGAAUUGAGGAACCUUUGCAAAACAUAAUGCAAUAUCAUCACUAAAACACUGUUUAUAGGAGCUGAGUAUAAAUACUCUUUUCAUGUCUUUGUUGUUGGGUUUUUUAGGUCUUUUUGUGACAAUUAUCAGUCCUCUCAUUUCAAUAUUUAUGAUAAUAAUACCUGUAAAGCAUGUUGGUCAUGUCUUAUUUUUACUAUACUAAAAUUUGUACUAUUGUAGUACUUAUUAUUAAAGUUCUAGUCCCGUGACAAUUGGUAUUGGACUAAGAUUUGCAGCUUUCUGUUGAGAUGAGGAAAGGAGUAGAAGAGCAGAUUGAACCCAGAGAGACCCAUGGGAGGGGCAGGAACUAUUUAUAUAUUUUUGAGAUGUUGAUAUCUUCCAGAGCCUUUUAUGACCACACACGAUAAUGGGUAAGAUAGGGUCCUACCUGACUUUUGGUUUAUCUGUUUUGAAGGGGAAAAUGGUUCUGGUUUAGAGAAGAAAAAUGAAUGCGUUGAUGAAGCUUCUAAUUCUUGCUCCAUGUUGUUUCUUCUUCAUAGCUUUAAUAAAGUUACUUUAUGAUUACCUAUGGAUACCUCUCCGUAUUCAGCAUAUGCUGAAUUCACAGGGGAUCAAAGGACCUCCUUACAGAUUCAUCCAUGGCAACAACAACGAAGUUACCAAAAUGAAACAAAAUGCUUUAAGUAAAUCUGUGGGUUUGACUGAUGAUUUAUUUCCCAAAGUACAGCCACAUAUUUACACCUGGAUCAACAGAUAUGGUAAGAUCCAUGCUUGUUUUCUUCACUAAGAUUUACGACUUGUAGUUCUGAGAAAAGGUAGACCCUGUUGGUGCUGUAACUGAAACUAACAGACUCAGCACAGACUUGUCGAGCAAGUCUCGAGACUUGCUGAGCAAACAAGAGAAUUCGAGCAAAAGAAAGGAAGAAAAGCUAAGAAAAAAUGAAUAGGAAAAUUGAUGAACAAAACUGAACUAUAUUCAUAAAAUUGAAUAAUGGCAUAAUGCCAAUACAUAAAUCAAGCACUAAGCUUGUCAAAAACAGCAAGUAAUUACCUAAACAUCACCUACUCCCACUAAUUACAUGGAAACUUGAAAUUUUAGCUUGUAAACCUAUACAAAGUUGUGUUUACAGCUCAUACAUAAGCUAAUUACAUCAGUCAACAACCUAACUUAGUUAGAAAUGAACUAAGAUUACAUUUCAUUGACUAGAAAUUACAAAAUAAACAAAAUAAGCUUGCAUCAGCAGCUCCUGUAUGUCUUGGUCUUCAUGGCCUGCAUGCUGUCGAGUUUGUUGCAUGCUGAACCAACUUCAUCACUCCUCCUUGGUUUGCAUGGAGCAAACACCUAGCUUCUUUCUUAGACAUUCGAACCUUGUGACACUAAGGGCUUUGGUUAAAAUGUCUGCAAGUUGAUCCUCUGAAUUACAGUGGAUCAGCUUUACUUCCUGAGCUUGCUCCAUUUCUCGAACAACAUGCAGCUUGAUGCUGAAAUGCUUUGUUCUUCCGUAGAACACUGGAUUUUUAGCAAUUGCUACAGCAGAUUGGUUGUCACAGAAGAUCUCAGUAGCUUCCUCUUGAUGCAUAUUCAAGUCAGCUAAGAUUUUCCUUAGCCAUAUGGCUUGGUUGACAGCACUUGCUGCGGCCACAUACUCUGCUUCAGCAGUAGAUUGAGCCACUAGACUUUGCUUCUUCGAGCUCCAGCAAAACAUGGCUAAACUAAGAUUAAAAGCAUACCCUGAGGUGCUUUUCAUGUCAUCUAUCGAGCCAGCCCAGUCACUAUCAGUGUAGCCAACCAGCUUCAGAUUUCCUUCUUUGCUAUACUUCAAACCAUAGUUCAAAGUGCCUUUGACAUAUCUCAGCACUCUCUUUGCAGCUUGGAAAUGCUUCUCAUUGCAGCAAUGCAGGAAUCUUGAGAGCAAUCCUAUAGCAUACAUGAUGUCUGGUUUAGUGGCAGUCAAGUAUAGCAAACAACCAACUAGACUCCUGUAGGUUGUUUCACAUACCUUCUCAAAAACACCUUGGCUCGAUAGUUUUUCUCUAACAGCAACAGGUGUUUUAGUUGCCUUGUUGUUUUGCAUGGAAAACUUGGUCAGAAUCUUUGUGGCAAAGCUUCUCUGGCUUAGAAAUAUCUCAUUCUGUACUUGAGACACCUCCAUUCCAAGAAAAUAGGACAUCUCCCCAAGAUCAGACAUUUCAAACACUUCCUGCAUCUUGGUCUUGAAAUCAGCCAGCACUGCUCGAUCUCCUCCUGUCACCAGAAGGUCAUCAACAUACAGGGACACAAUGAGUUGUGUUUGUGUCCAUUGUUUCUUGACAUACAGUGUUGGCUCACUCUUGCUUCGAUCGAAUCCCAGAUCAGUCAAGUAGCCAUCGAUUCUGCUGUACCAGGCCCUUGGAGCCUGUUUUAAUCCAUAUAGGGCUUUCUUCAGUUUGUAGACCAUAUGCUCUUUGCCAGCUAUUUCAAACCCUUGUGGUUGUUCAACAUAGAUGUUUUCAUCUAGGAAACCAUUCAGAAAGGCUGAUUUUACAUCGAGCUGAUGGAUCUUCCACUCGAGCUGUACUGCUAAGCCAAUCAGUAGUCUGAUGGUGUCGAGCCUGGCCACUGGUGCAAAGGUCUCCAAGUAGUCCAGGCCAUAUCUCUGACUGAACCCCUUGACUACUAGCCUUGCUUUCAGCUUAUUCAAGGUACCAUCAGCAUUCUGUUUGGCUUUGUACACCCAUUUCACCCCAAUCACCUUCCUUUUGACUGGCCUUUCAACCAAUUCCCAGGUCUGGUUCUUCUCAAUCAUGUUGAUCUCCUCAGCCAUUGCCUGCUUCCACCCUUGCUGAGCCUCAGCCUCUUCAAAGUUGCUUGGUUCAGCUAUGGCUACAUGAGCCCUUUCAUAAAUCUCAGUCAAUGGCCUUGUUCCUCUGACUGGUUCAUCAUCAAUGUCCAUUUCUGGAACAUUUUGGUCUGGCUCAGCUUGGUCUGUUGCUAGUUCUUCAGAAACUUCUUCAGGUUCAUGUCUUUCCCAGUUCCAACAUGACCUUUCAUCAAAUACCACAUCCCUACUAACUGACACUUUGUUUGUUGAAGGAUCCAAGAUCCUAUAGCCCUUCUUAACAGUGCUGUAGCCCACCAGUACAGCAGGUUGAGCCCUUUCAGACAAUUUGUCCCUUUUAACAGCAGGUACAUGUGCAUAACAAAUGCAUCCAAAGACUUUCAGAUGAGCCAGUGAUGGCUUGAAGCCAAAUCAGGCCUCGAAUGGGGUCUUCUGAUCCAAGGCCUUUGUUGGUAGUCUAUUUUGAAUGUAUGUUGCAGUGUUAACUGCUUCUGCCCAUAGUAUUCUAGGCAAAUUCUUCUGAAUCAUUAAGCAUCUGGCCAUAUCCAUCAAACUCCUGUUCUUCCUUUCACUUACACUAUUCUGCUGAGGUGUAUAUGUGUUGGUAAGUUGAUGUUUGAUGCCUGCCUUAUCACAGAAGGCUUGGAACUGAGCUGAGGUGUACUCAGUCCCAUUAUCAGACCUUAUGGUCUUCAGCUUGCAGCCUAUUUCAGUCUCAGAAGCAGUCUUGAACUUCCAAAACACUGAGGCCACCUCUGAUUUUUGUUUUAAGAAGUAAAUCCAACAAUAUCUUGAAAAAUCAUCAAUGACCAGUAUAAAAUACCUAUUUCCACUUAAUGACUCAGUCUUCAUAGGGCCACACACAUCAGUAUGCACCAGUUGGAGUUUUUCAGAGGCUCUCCAGGCUUGAUUCGAGGGAAAUGGGAGUCUGGCCUGCUUUCCUAGCUGACAUACUCCACAUACAUCAUCAUGGUCCACUGAGUUGAUGAAGUUUUUAGCCAGGUCUUCUCUGACCAUUCGGGCCAUCGAUCUGAAGUUGGCAUGUCCCAGCCUUUGAUGCCACAACUUGGAUUCAUCUGAUGUGGCUGUGUAGGCAAUGUCUGACUUCUUUGUCCAGUCAACCACAAAGCUCUUAUCAGCCAUAGGGACUGCCAUCAGUUUGGAUCCACUUGGAUCACUGAUUUGGCACUGGUUGUCUUUGAACACAACAGAAUACCCUUUCUCCAGCAAUUGAGCUAUGCUAAGCAGGUUUCUGUCAAUUUCAGGCACCAAGAGCACAUUUGAAAUCACUUUGGCACCUGUAGAAGUGCAUAUCAGCACAUCACUCUUGCCUUCAGCUUGAAUGAAAUGACCAUUUCCUAUUUUGACCUUAGUUCUGCAGCUUCUGUCUAAAGACUUGAAGAUUGCAGCAUCAGGUGUCAUGUGGUUGGUGCAUCCACUGUCUAGGAGCCAACCAGAUGAGAACCUUUCCUGAGCAGCUGAGCAUGACAUAGUAAAAACUUGCUCCUCUUAGUCACUGUCCUCCUUAGCUACUCGAGCCUCAGCUUUCAUCUGUUGAAACUGAUUGUGCCUUGAUUUGGCCUUGCUCUUGCAAACUCUCUCAACAUGACCCUUCUUCUUACAAUGCUGACAUACAGUUUCUGGAUUAAACUAGCACUUUUCUUCUAGAUGACCAACCCUUCUGCAGUGCUUGCAAGUCUGACCUUCUCUCCUUGCAGCAUCAUUCUUUGGCUUGUCUCUCCAGGCCUUCUUGCCUUUAUAGGCAGUGUUUAUUCUUUCCUGAAAGGCACCUUCUUGAUGCUCCUCCAGCCUGCUUGCUCUCCUCUACUCUUGAGCAUAUAGAGCAUUGAUCAACUCUGUCAGGGAGAUGGUGGACAGAUCCCUUGAGUCCUCGAGAGAUGAGAUUUUUGCCUCAUACCUCUCAGGCAGAGUUGCUAUAACCUUCUCCACUAUCCUAGCUUCAUUGAACUGCUCUCUAAGGAGCCUGAUGCUGUUAACCACAGCCAUAAUCCUGUCAGAAUAUUGCUUGACAGUUUCUUCUUCCUUCAUCUUCAAAUUCUCGAAAUCUCUCCUCAAGUUCAACAACUGUUGCUGCCUUGUCAUCUCUGUCCCUUGAAACUCUUCCUGCAACUUGUCCCAGGUCUGUUUUGGUGAUUCACAGGCCAUAAUCCUUGUGAAAAUCACAUCAGACACUGAGUUCUAGAUGCGAGACAUGGCUUUGUGCCUCUUGGUCCUCUCAUCAGCAUGCUGCCUGAUCUGAGCCACUGUUGGAUUGCCUCUAAGUGGUUCUGGUUCAACAUCUGAGUUGACCACCUCCCACAGAUCGUAUGCCUGCAGGUAGGUCUUCAUUUUGACCACCCAUAUGUGAUAGCCUUCUCCAUUGAAUACUUGAGGUGCAGCUGGUGAAAAGCUUGAUGAAGCCAUGUAUUUGUAUAACAGAUCCCUUAAGAAAUAGGCUCUAGAUACCAAUUGUUGGUGCUGUAACUGAAACUAACAGACUCAGCACAGACUUGUCGAGCAAGUCUCGAGACUUGCUGAGCAAACAAGAGAAUUCGAGCAAAAGAAAGGAAGAAAAGCUAAGAAAAAAUGAAUAGGAAAAUUGAUGAACAAAAAAGAACUAUAUUCAUAAAAUUGAAUAAUGGCAUAAUGCCAAUACAUAAACCAAGCACUAAGCUUGUCAAAAACAGCAAGUAAUUACCUAAACAUCACCUACUCCCACUAAUUACAUGGAAACUUGAAAUUUUAGCUUGUAAACCUAUACAAAGUUGUGUUUACAGCUCAUACAUAAGCUAAUUACAUCAGUCAACAACCUAACUUAGUUAGAAAUGAACUAAGAUUACAUUUCAUUGACUAGAAAUUACAAAAUAAACAAAAUAAGCUUCCAUCAGCAGCUCCUGCAUGUCUUGGUCUUCAUGGCCUGCAUGCUGUCGAGUUUGCUGCAUGCUGAACCAACUUCAUCAGACCCUUUUUCUUUUCAUGUUAUUAGGGAAGAAUUUUGUUUAUUGGAAGGGUGCUCGAGCAGAAUUGGUGAUUUCAGAGCCUGAAUUAGUCAAAGAGGUUCUGAAAAAUAGUGAACAAAUUUUUCAGAAAAAGAAACUUUCAGAUAUUGGUAGGAAGUUCUUGGGGGAAUGGUCUUAUUUUCAUUGAGGGGGAAAAAUGGGCAAAGCAUCGAAAGCUGGCCAAUCACACUUUCCAUGGGGAAAGCCUAAAGGUAAGUCUUCUAAAUAUAUAAACUAGGUGUAAUUAAUUUACAAGAAUUAUACAUAGACUACAAUAUUUUGGUAAAAUUGUGUAUUGUUAGCUAAGGAUAAGUUUAUUAUGGGCGUUGAAAAAGUGUAGUAAAAACAUACUUUUGAAAAAUUUAACACCAUUUACUACUUAGGAGGUCAAUUUUAAACUUGAUGUUCUAAAAUAAAAGAUUGAAUCAGAAAUUUUAAAAAAAAAGUAAUUUCAUUAAAAAGCACUCUUUUAGCUUUUUGACUUGGAUUAAAAUCUAGUUUGAAAAGGUGUUUAUUUGUCAAAUUGUUUAAUUUGAAAUCAUGAUUUUGUGUUGAAAAGUGUUUUUCUGACUCCAAUUAUAUAUGUCACUACUACUUACAUAUAGGAGGAUUGUUUGGGCAGAACAUGACUCCAGCAAUAAUUGCUAGUGUUGAAACAAUGCUAGAAAAGUGGAAAGGCCAAUAAGGCAAAGAGAUUGAACUGUACCAAGAAUUUAGGUUAUUAACUUCAGAAGUGAUUUCCAGAACAACAUUUGGUAGCAAUUACAUGGAAGGGGAGAAGAUUUUUGCCAUGUUAGACAAGUCGACAAUAAUUGUGAGUCAAAAUCUUUCUAAGACUAGAAUUCCUUUGAUCAGGUAUCUUCCCUCUAAGCUUAAUUAAUCCCAACUUUUACCUUGAUUUCAACUAGCUUUUGAAUGCAACUUUUAGACUUUCAUUCCCCCUGGAUUUGGUUUUCUCCUUAUAUAUAGCUGACCCUGGUUUGCUUUUGCAGCAAGUUGUGGAAAUCUGCUGAUUUGCUAGAGUCUGAAAAACUUUCAAAAGAAAUAAAAGAUCGUCUGAUGAAGAUUGUUAAGAAAAGAGAAGACAAAGUUGUGAAUGGAGAAGUCAAUAGCUUCCGCAGUGAUUUUUUUGGAUUACUUCUAAAUACCUAUCAUGAUUCGGAUGAGAAAAACAGGAUUUCAUUGGAAGACUUGGUAGCUGAAUGCAAAACAUUCUAUUUUGCUGGACAAGAAACUGUUAAUUCCUUACUUGCAUGGAGAUUGGCAAGAAAAAGCGAGAAGAGAGGUGGUUGACAUAUUUGGUAACCAAAAUCCACAUCUCGAAGGCAUCGCCAAACUCAAAAUAGUAAGAAAACUAUCUAACUGGGAAUUCAAAUAGCCAUCGACAUGAUGUAAUCUGACAUAUUUUUCUAUUUUCCAAACAGAUGACCAUGAUCAUCAAUGAAACUCUAAGAUUGUAUGGUCCAACAGGUGUCCUCCAAAGAACAGUUACAAGAGAAAUUCAGUUGGGAAAGCUACUCUUGCCUGCUAAUAUAGAUAUUCUGCCUUUAAAUAUUGGACUUCACCGUGACCCUCACUUUUGGGGAAAUGAUGUGCACCAUUUUAAACCUGAGAGAUUCGCUGAAGGGAUUGCCAAAGCUACCAAUUACACCGCGGCUGCCUUUUUCCCCUUCGGAUUAGGACCUCGAUCUUGUGUUGGUAUGACAUUUGCAAUGAUAGAAACCAAGAUUGCUCUCUCCAUGAUUCUACAACGCUACACCAUUACCCUUUCCCCUGCCUAUGUCCACUCUCCAAUACUUAUUCUCACCCUUCGACCCCAAAAUGGAAUUCA